rnacentral:rRNA from 1 species
GACAGAACUGUGGGGACACGUAAGGAGAGCGGGAGCCGGGAAUGGAAAGCCCGGUACAAGCGAGGUACCAGUAUGGUAGGAAAAACCGCCAUGCAAUGGGAAGACGUGAUGUGGUGUGAAAUAUAGUAACGAAGCCCGUGAGCCAUGCGUCAAGAAAAGCCGCUAUUGUUUAUAUUGUACCCGUACCGUAAACCGACACAGGUGGAUGAGGAGAGAAUCCUAAGGCCGGCGGAAGAAGUAUUGCCAAGGAACUCGGCAAAAUGGCCCCGUAACUUAGGGAGAAGGGGUGCCUGCGAGAGCAGGCCGCAGAGAAUAGGCUCAAGCAACUGUUUAGCAAAAACACAGGUCUAUGCGAAACCGAAAGGUGAGGUAUAUGGGCUGACGCCUGCCCGGUGCUGGAAGGUUAAGAGGAGAGGUUAGACGCAAGUCGAAGCUUUGAAUUUAAGCCCCAGUAAACGGCGGCCGUAACUAUAACGGUCCUAAGGUAGCGAAAUUCCUUGUCGGGUAAGUUCCGACCCGCACGAAAGGCGUAAUGAUUUGAGCGCUGUCUCGGCAAUACAUCCGGUGAAAUUGAAGUGCCAGUGAAGAUGCUGGCUACCCGCGCCAGGACGGAAAGACCCCAUGGAGCUUUACUCCAGUUUGGCACUGGGGUCCGGUGUUGCAUGUACAGGAUAGGUGGGAGGCUGAGAGAUAGUGACGUCAGUUGCUAUGGAGCCGCUGUUGGGAUACCACCCUUGUGAUAUUGGGCUUCUAACCAGCCGCCGUGAACCGGCGGUGGGACAAUGCCAGGCGGGGAGUUUGACUGGGGCGGUCGCCUCCGAAAGGGUAUCGGAGGCGCCCAAAGGUUCCCUCAGAAUGGACGGAAACCAUUCGAAGAGUGCAAAGGCAGAAGGGAGCUUGACUGCGACACCGACGGGUGGAGCAGGUACGAAAGUAGGGCUUAGUGAUCCGGUGGUAUUAAGUGGGAAUGCCAUCGCUCAACGGAUAAAAGCUACCCUGGGAUAACAGGCUUAUCACUCCAAGAGUUCACAUCGACGGAGUGGUUUGGCACCUUGAUGUCGGCUCAUCGCAUCCUGGGGCUGUAGUAGGUCCAAGGGUUGGGCUGUUCGCCCAUUAAAGCGGUACGCGAGCUGGGUUCAGAACGUCGUGAGACAGUUCGGUCCCUAUCCGGCGUGGGCGUAGGAUAUCUGAGAGGAGCUGUCCUUAGUACGAGAGGACCGGGAUGGACGGACCGCUGGUGGACCGGUUGGCUUGCCAAAGCCAUGGCCGGGUAGCCAAGUCCGGAAGGGAUAAACGCUGAAGGCAUCUAAGCGUGAAGCCCCCCUCAAGAUGAGAUAUCCCAUUCUCUAAGAAGUAAACCCCCUUGAAGACGACGAGGUAGAUAGGGCAGAGGUGGAAGUGUGGUAACACAUGGAGCUGACUGUUACUAAUCGGGUGAGGGCUUGACAA